GUUACGUCAUUCCAUGAUGGCUGAAGAUCCCGGCGGAACAUUUUUCAUUUUCUUUCUCAUUUUUCUUUCUUUCUCUCUACCUCAGCUUGCCAGAGAGACAUGGCAGGGCCCACAGGCCCGUUAAGCGUUCACAGAUCAUUCGUGUCGACAUGCCCAAGAAAGGGAACCGAAAACGGCUGAAAUUUAGAGCCGGGGACGUUUGUUCAGAUUCAGUAACUGUUGCUGAUUAUGCUGAUGCCGACCCGGCCGUUGUGAAGUCAGGGAGGGUGAAGAAGGCUGUUGCAAAUGCAGUUGAGAAGGAAGGUGACAUUAACUUUGAAUGGUGUCACAACCUUUAAUGGCGUCACAACCUGGCAUUUCAGUAUAGUAAUAUUUGUCAUUACAGUCUCCUUUUGCUAUGUCUGGACAGAUGAUUAAAAUGUAUAACUUCACACUGUGUGUCAGUGAAAUUACUCUGUGGGCUGGAGGCAUCUCAGGGUGCUGUAGAGGAGGUCACAGCUGACGCUUUGGACCGCAGUGAUGACCUAGACCCUGAAAAGGAUGGAGAAAAUGAUAUUAAAGUGGCCCACAAGAAGAAAAACAAGAGAAGAAAGGAAAGCAGUGAGAGCAGUGAUGGGGGGGAGUAUCCAGUGGAUAUUUGGUUAAUGCUCGCCGCCUAUAUUCGGCCUGAGGAUGUGUGCAGAUUUGCUUUAAUUUGUAGGAAUGCCUGGAUAGUCACAUGCACCGCUGCGUUUUGGACCAGGCUCUACAGAAGGCACUACAAGAUUGAUGCUGACCUGCCAUUCCGUCUCCAGCCUGACUGUAUUGACAGGGCGUGCUCUUUACGUGCCCGUGUGAUUCUCUCCCUUUUUCAUUUGUAUGAGCCAUUCAGCUUGCGUGUCUCAAAAAUCCCUGCCCUGCCAGAAUCCACACCCACAACCUUGCUUAACUCCAAGAAAGGUGUUAGGUACUCGGCCUGAGGCAUUGUGGGAGUUCAACUUCAAGUUUCUAAAGCAGCAGGGACAAAGUAAGACUGGUUGUGCAAAGUCCUUGUGCAUGCCCAGACAAUACGAAGAUGUCCACACGAACCCAGACUCUGACUGCUACAUGCUUCAGGUCACCACCCUCAACUUCAUCUUCACCCCUGUGGUUAUGGGCAUGACACUGUCCCUGUUCACAAUCAACGUUAGCACAGACAUGCGACACCACCGUGUUCGUCUGGUGUUCCAGGACGCACCACUCCAGCGGGGGAAGAAGAGGGGGGAUCAGGGCGGGACCCAGGUGGUGUUGGACCCAGUACACGGUGUAAAGCUCAUGGACUGGUGGCACCCACAGUACCCCUCCUCACCCUACAUAUAGGAAUCCUGCCCUGUUGGCAGAACGUCACAUCAAGGACCCUGCUGUUAUCACACCUCCCUCAUCAGAAAUUGAUAUUGGAUGACUCUGCAAAACCCUGGAUUAUUUUCAUUCACAGUUGAUUCAACAUUUCACAUUUCAAUCAUUGUUGGAUGUUAAAGAAACCCAAAGUUGACUGGCCUGAGCUGGGAUGCAAACGCUACCUUCCAGUGUCAAAAUCAAACAUUGUUGCAUGCCCCAGCAACCACUCUAACCUCCACACUCUACUUAUAGUUUAAUUUGAACAUCAUUGUUCUUCCUGGAUGUAAUAAUUUACCACAUAAUUGUCCUGUAUGAACACUAUUCCUUGGAAGACUGAUCUUGUAAUCUAUGUAAACAUAUCUGCCAUAUGAGCAGUCCCUCUACUUUUUCAAUCGUCGUCAGCUCCAACAGUCCUGUAGUCUUUUUGCAUAGAAGUAGGGUUCAAUAUUCUGGAAAAGAAAUCAGAAAGGACAGCUGGGAGAGAUCUCACUGCAAAUUGUUUAACAUUGAUAUCUUAGUCAAAAGUGUAUAAUGUUUUACAGUAUAGAAAAUACUGUGAUUAGAUCACAGUGAUAGAUGAUAUAUAUAUUGCUCAACACUAUAGACAUGGCAGAGUGGAACAUGUAUGUUUAGAGCUACCAGUUGCAUAACGAGUCCCAAUUCUGACAUUAUUUUACAUUAAACAUGUAAAGGUUACACAAGUAUCUUGAUUUUGCAUUGGUUUUGAAUUUGUACAAACAGCAUCAACAGAGUUGUACUCUUUUAAAAUCAUAUUUUUUUUCUUUAUGUAUUUAGCUUAAGCCAGUAUCACUUAGUAUUAUGUGAAUAUUAAUGACAAUGCUCUUUACGGAAGGGGCCAAAUGGAUGAUUUACCUCAGACUUCUACUAAUCUGCUGAUUUGGGUGUGGUUUCUUUUCUUUGUAGUUUUUCUAAACAAAAAAUGGUUGUCUUGUUCCUGAAUAUGUGAGCCACAUACCCUAAUGCCUGCUGUGAAAUCUCAUUCUCUUGAGUUGGUGUUGAAUCAUACCAAUUACAUGCUUGAUUAUGAUUGGGAGAGAGUUACCAUUGAUGUAUCCACCCAUCAGAUGCAGUCAAAAUAGUUAAACCUGGAUUGAUUAACACAUAUACAUAUAUUGUGAAUGAAAAAACAAUCGAUUAACCACAAAUCAUUUACAUUUCUAAGAUUGAAGGUUGAAAACAGCUGGAUGUUGUGGUUAUCAGCAGUUGAUUGUUUUAAGUGGUUAGUGUAGUUUCAUCAGAUGAGUUAAUUGAUAAAAAAUUGUACUCCACACACAGAAAUAAAAUCUGAAACAUUCAAAAUGC